CGAACUCUUCGGAGUUAGUGGCGGACGGGUGAGUAACACGUGGGAACAUGCCUUUAGGUUCGGAAUAACUCAGGGAAACUUGUGCUCAUACCAAAGGUGCCCUUCGGGGGAAAGAUUUAUCGCCUUUAGAGCGGCCCGCGUCUGAUUAGCUAGUUGGUGAGGUAAAGGCUCACCAAGGCGACGAUCAGUAGCUGGUCUGAGAGGAUGAUCAGCCACAUUGGGACUGAGACACGGCCCAAACUCCUACGGGAGGCAGCAGUGGGGAAUCUUGCGCAAUGGGCGAAAGCCUGACGCAGCCAUGCCGCGUGAAUGAUGAAGGUCUUAGGAUUGUAAAAUUCUUUCAGUAGGGACGAUAAUGACGGUACCUACAGAAAAAGCCCCGGCUAACUUCGUGCCAGCAGCCGCGGUAAUACUAAGGGGGCUAGCGUUGCUCGGAAUUACUGGGCGUAAAGGGAGCGUAGGCGGACAUUUAAGUCAGGGGUGAAAUCCCGGGGCUCAACCUCGGAAUUGCCUUUGAUACUGGGUGUCUUGAGUGUGAGAGAGGUAUGUGGAACUCCGAGUGUAGAGGUGAAAUUCGUAUAUAUUCGGAAGAACACCAGUGGC
rnacentral:rRNA from 1 species